AGAACUGCCCAAUCCUUCUGAUGUUCGGGUAACUGAAAGGAUUUUCCGGGACAUCAUCAAAGCUGCAGCCGCUCGCUAUAUACCUGCUGGUCGAAUACCCGAAGUAAGACCAAAUUUCCCAGCAGAGGCAGCGGGAUUAGCGAAUGAGCGUGAUGAGCUCCGACGUACCAACCCUGCUGAUCCCAGAGUCAGUGAACUGACAGUGGAAGUCAACCGGUUGGUACAGGAGCAUAAGCGGAAAAAGUGGCUAGACCAUCUGAAGUGUUGCAACAUUGGAACCGACUUGAGUAAACUGUGGGUAACGGUAAAGUCACUUUCGAACCCUGGAAAAAAGAAUGAUAGGACAGCAGUCACAUUUAACGACAUAACUGUGACUGAUCCGAAGAGAUGCGCUGGCUGUUAUAACCGCCAAUUUGUCGAGCACCCCGAGAGUGAUAGGGCGAGGCGAAGAGUACUACGUCGUAUAAGAGCUCUUCCCUCCGAGGAUGUACCCUCACAGUUUACGAUGGGUGAUGUUGCGAAUGUCAUCCGAAACGCUAAGUCAUCUAAAGCGUUGGGCCCGGACGGAAUAUCAAUGGUAAUGUUGAAGCAACUGGAUACGCCGGGAGUUGAGUAUUUAACCAAAGUCCUUAACUUGUCGUUAGCCACCCACAUAGUUCCCGAAGCCUGGAAAAUGGGCAGAGUGGUCCCGCUACUGAAGCCUGGCAAGGAUGCCAGCAAAGGCGAAUCAUACAGGCCAAUUUCGCUUUUGUCGCUAGUAGCAAAGACUCUCGAAGCCUUACUCCUCCCCAGUAUCAGAGGAAGCUAUUCAGUUGCUAACCAUCAACACGGUUUCCGUCCACAAAAUAGCACUACAACAGCAUUGCACGCCAUAUCCACACAUAUCAGACGAGGACUCAACCAGAACAGGCCGUGCCACAGAACAGUAGUGGUGGCUCUCGACCUAUCAAAGGUCUUUGAUACGGUCAACCAUGCCAAGCUGUGCGAGGACGUUGAGAACACUACCCUCCGGCCAAGUUUGAAACGUUGGAUAGUCAACUAUAUGUGUGGACGCCAGUCGUACGUGGAAAUCCGGAAUAAGAAGUCCAAGCCUCGUAGAGUGAAACAGGGAGUUCCCCAAGUUGGGGUGAUAUUUCCGGAACUGUUUAACCUCUACCUUUCCGGAAUUCCGGGCCCUCCAGACGGCAUCGAGAUCGUAACUUGUGCGGAUGAUUGUACGGGUCCUGUAGUUGAUGACAUAUGUGUCAGGGUGAAUAACUAUCUCGCGGAGCUUGCCGCCUACUUCCACUAAAUCAACGGCCACACUACCCAGCUAACAAUUUUUUCCGAGGGCUCUGAUGUCCGAUUUUUUGUCGAGAUUUUCAGACGUUUCUUCAGAAAAGUUUCCGAGUAAUCUGCACAUACUCGUUUCUUUUGUUUUGUUUGAACAAAACAAAGCAAAAGAGAAAAAAAAAACAUCGUAUACAGAGAGUUAACUCUUUUUUGGCGAGAAUUUCUAAUGUUACUCCAGAAAAGUUUCCGAGUAAUCUGCACAUACUCGUUUCUUUUGUUUUGAAAAAAAGAAACACAAAAAUUCUGACAUUAGCAGAGAGUUAACUUUUUUCUGUUGAGAUUUAUAUUACCGUUCCUUUCGAAAAGUUUCCGAGUACUCUGCACAUGCUCGGUUGAAAUUAUUUGAAGAAUUUUGUGUAUACAACUUUUUUGUUUUUUUUGAUUAUGAUCAGUUUGUCGUCAGAAUUUGUACGGAGCACGAGUGCAGUGUGUUGCAGUGAAAAGUUAAAAUGAAAAUUAAAGGAAGAUUUGGACCUUCAGUACCUUAUGCUACGCCGUUUAAAAAAUCAACGCCAUGACUAUGUAAACACUUUUACAUAUGAAAAUUUUAGACUUAUUUUUCAAACUGGCGAGGUCAACGUUUUCGUGGCACGAAAUGUACCAAAAUACAGCUGUAAAGGACAUCUAAUUUAUUAGGCUCGUUAAAGAUGCGGCAUUGGAACAUAUUCCGGAAACUAUGGGAAGUGCCAUAUAAACCCAUAUAAAACAUUUCUUCAAAUCGGCUAAAGAUAGGCUUAACAAACCUUAACCUGGGCCAAAAUCGAACUCAGUCAACCUUAAACUCCUUUGUUCAUCUGAGAAUAAGCCAGCCGAUGACUUGAGCCAGCCAAAUAUGCGCUUUAUAUAUUUCCACCCUUAAUUAUAUUGAUUUACAUUGAAUUGCACCUUUUUAUUUUUU